GGCCUAAUAGUCUAGCGGUUAUGACGUUGGAUUCUGAUUCCAGAGGUCCAGGUUCGACUCCUGGUUGGGCCU
rfam:Piloderma croceum F 1598 unplaced genomic scaffold scaffold_00022, whole genome shotgun sequence.